UCCUUGCAUAACCUGGAACUGCCACCAAGUCAUGCACUACAGCUCCUCUGGAUCAUAUUCAAAGCAUCCUCUGUGAUGUGACACCACAUGAGACACCAGC